rnacentral:misc_RNA from 1 species
GCGAGUAUGGCCCUCACGGGUCUAAUCCACCAUGAACACCUUUGUGAACCAGUCAGGGGGACUCGGCCGUGAAAGCCCAGGCGAUUAGCGGAAGGGCCCUCCUUUGCAAACCCGUUUAGAAGUCUUGAAAGUACUUUUGUAUAAUCUAGUA